rnacentral:rRNA from 1 species
GACGAACGCUGGCGGCGUGCCUAAUACAUGCAAGUCGAACGCAGUGGGGACGGGUGAGUAACACGUGGGUAACCUCCCAUCAGAGGGGAUAACACUUGGAAACAGGUGCUAAACCGAUACUGAUGGAUGGACCCGCGGUGCAUUAGCUAGUUGGUGAGGUAACGGCUCACCAAGGCCACGAUGCAUAGCCUACUGGAGAGGGUGGGUGGCUACCCUGGGACUGAGACACGGCCCAGACUCCUACGGGAGGCAGCAGGAGGGAAUCUUCGGAAAUGGACGGAAGUCUGACCGAGCAAAGCCGGGUGAGUGAAGAAGGUUUUCGGAGCGUAAAGCUAUGUUGUUAGAGAAGCGGUAACUAACCAGAAAGGGACGGCUAACUACGUGCCAGCAGCCGCGGUAAUUC